UGGGCUGCCCACCUGGGAAGCUUGGUCUCCUCCCAAACGCGCCUCCCGCAGCCUUGGCUGGGAACCGACCCAGCCGGAGAAUACCGACUAUCGAGCUCAAACCUAGUGAUGUCACCUAUCAAACGUGAGCCUCAUUUCUUAUUUCGCUCGCCUCCUUAAAGCCACACUCCGCCGUCUUCCAGCUGCCCCUUCCUGCCGGAGAGAGCAGGAAAAGUGGCCUUCAAAAAAGGCUCAUUGGAAUCCAAAGGCAUUGUAGAAAACAUACUGUGUGGAUGUUAUCUGUGUAGAAUCCACAAUGGACUGAGAUUCAGUGUCUCCACUAUGUCAAAAUAGAACAGCCUUCUCUCAACAGAGGGGAUGGGGAUACAACAUCAUCUAUCUCUAGUGUACAACACAGUCCUUUCAACAGUUCCAAGAAGGCUCCACACCAAUUUGCCCCACUCCGGUGACCCUGAUGACACAGAUAAACCUCCAGGUGAUCUUAAUGACCUGCUAAAAGAAUGUCAAUGUCCAGCUGUCUGCAAGGAGUAUACAUCCUUCCAUUCCACACCAACCAGUCAGAGCUGAAGAAGCUUCUUGGAUUAGAAGUGAAACGUCUUCAAAGAAAAACCAGAAAGUCCAGUUGCCUCUUGAAAAAAAGCAAACCUUUGGGAGGUUUAUUUGUUAGAUUUAUACAAUGGCUUUCGUUAAGGAGCUCAAGGCAUCAUAUAGAUAGUCCUUGAGUUUCAACCAUUUCUGUAGUGAUUGUUCAAAGUUAUACUGACACUGAAAGAAAUUUACUUAUGGAUGGUGCACACACUUAAUGUUAGGAAAUGAUUUUACCUAACUUGUUGGGUUGGCAAUAUAUAAACCAUCAAUAUUGCUUUAAGACUGCUGUAUUGCUGUAUUGCAUCAUACUGUGUCCUGAUUGGUUAGCUCUGUAGCCAAAGUCCUUAAGAGGGAGCUAGAAACCUGGUUUAUCUCUCUUUGCUCUCUUUGCUACUCUUUACUGCUGCUUUGCUGUGUUUGCUACUGUUUGCAAAUAUAGAAGAACUGUUAUUGUGUAUGACUACAACGACUGGUAAGAAGACUUUGUUAUUGGAUUAUCCCUGGACUAUUGUUUGAUAUCUAUUGCUUUAUCUGUGUAUGACCUGGACUGUUUAAUGGACUGUGCCUUAUUGCUAUUUCCUGAUAGUAAACACAACUCAGUGUA